GCUUACACAUGCAAGUCGAGCGGGGUGAUGGUGCUUGCACUAUCACUUAGCGGCGGACGGGUGAGUAAUGCUUAGGAAUCUGCCUAUUAGUGGGGGACAACAUCUCGAAAGGGAUGCUAAUACCGCAUACGUCCUACGGGAGAAAGCAGGGGAUCACUUGUGACCUUGCGCUAAUAGAUGAGCCUAAGUCGGAUUAGCUAGUUGGUGGGGUAAAGGCCUACCAAGGCGACGAUCUGUAGCGGGUCUGAGAGGAUGAUCCGCCACACUGGGACUGAGACACGGCCCAGACUCCUACGGGAGGCAGCAGUGGGGAAUAUUGGACAAUGGGGGGAACCCUGAUCCAGCCAUGCCGCGUGUGUGAAGAAGGCCUUAUGGUUGUAAAGCACUUUAAGCGAGGAGGAGGCUCUUUUGGUUAAUACCCAAGAUGAGUGGACGUUACUCGCAGAAUAAGCACCGGCUAACUCUGUGCCAGCAGCCGCGGUAAUACAGAGGGUGCAAGCGUUAAUCGGAUUUACUGGGCGUAAAGCGCGCGUAGGCGGCCAAUUAAGUCAAAUGUGAAAUCCCCGAGCUUAACUUGGGAAUUGCAUUCGAUACUGGUUGGCUAGAGUGUGGGAGAGGAUGGUA
rnacentral:rRNA from 1 species